rnacentral:rRNA from 1 species
UACGUAGGGUGCAAGCGUUGUCCGGAAUUAUUGGGCGUAAAGAGCUCGUAGGCGGUUUGUCGCGUCUGCUGUGAAAACCCGAGGCUCAACCUCGGGCCUGCAGUGGGUACGGGCAGACUAGAGUGCGGUAGGGGAGAUUGGAAUUCCUGGUGUAGCGGUGGAAUGCGCAGAUAUCAGGAGGAACACCAGUGGCGAAGGCGGAUCUCUGGGCCGAUACUCUGAGGAGCGAAAGCUGGGGGAGCGAACGG